rnacentral:rRNA from 1 species
AUGAUAGGGUGGGGAGACGUGUACAAGGUGGUGUCCGCCAUGUCGCCGCUCUACUUCGCCCUCGGCCUCGGGUACGCCUCGGUGCGAUGGUGGAAGUUCUUCACCCGCGACCAGUGCGACGCCGUGAACCGCCUCGUCAUCUACUUCGCGCUCCCCUUCUUCGCCUUCGACUUCAACGCCCACGCCGGCACGUUCGCCGCCAGCUACCGCGUCCUGGCCGCCGACGCCGUCGCCAAACUCGUCGUCGUGCUCGCGGUCGCCGGGUGGGUCGCGUCCUGCCGCUGGCGGCGCUGGAGCCGCGCCCCCAAGGCGCCACCCGCGAGGCCGGCGCGGCCGGGUGGCGGCCGCGGCCCCUCCUACUCGUGGUGCAUCACCGGCUACUCGCUGGGCACGCUCAACAACGGGCUCCUCGUGGGCGUGCCGCUGCUGGACGCCAUGUACGGCAAGUGGGCGCGCGACAUCGUCGUGCAGCUGUCGGUGGUGCAGGCCGUCGUGUGGCUCCCGCUGCUGCUGGUGGCGUUCGAGGCGAGGCAGGCCUGGCUGGAGGUGACAUCGGCGCCGGCACCCGACGGCGCGCGAGAAGAAGGCGAUCAGGCAGCGCCGGGGAGCGACGAUGUCGACCGGCCAGCGGCAGCCGGAGAAGACCGGAAGAUGGCGGCGACAGGGUGGGCGUUCUGGGCGCCGCUGCUGCGAACGGUUGGGCUCAAGGUCGUCGGCAACCCGAACGUGUACGCGAGCCUCCUUGGCGUUCUGUGGUCCUCCGUGGCAAACAGGUGGCACCUGGAAAUGCCAGGCAUCAUAGAUGGCUCCAUUUCGAUCAUGUCAAGGACCGGCCUUGGAAUCGGAAUGUUUAACAUGGGCUUGUUCAUCGGUCUACAGGACAAGCUCGUCGUGUGUGGGCCUGGAUUGACCUCGUUGGGCAUGGCGAUGCGGUUUGUCGCUGCGCCAGCAGCCACCAUGAUUGGAGCGCUACUUUUGGGACUACGUGGUGACCUUCUGCGCGUUGCCAUCUUACAGGCCGCACUGCCUCAGUCUAUCGGGACAUUUAUCUUUGCGAGAGAGUAUGACCUACAUGCCAAUAUACUCAGUACCGCGGUGAUAGUCGGCACAUUGGCUUCGCUGCCUGUUUUAGCCACAUAUUAUGUUGUUUUAGGGCUCAUGUGA